rnacentral:lncRNA from 1 species
GAUUGUUUUGAGACCUAGUACGUCGUUCGGCAGUCUGAGGCCAUGAGCAGCUUCGUUUCAAGUGUAUUACUUGUACGUGUGAUCAGAAUUGAAUUUCGGGAAGUUCGAAGUUGAUUUAGGAAGAGAAUUCUCAUUUCGGAAGCUUAAAGUUGAAAGAAUUAACAAGGACAGGAUUUUUGUAUAAAUGACAUCAGAAUCGGGAUAUGAAGGUUUCAGCAGGUUUGUAUGAUGAUUUCGGACUUCGGCGUAUGCUCGGAUCGGGUCUUGGAUAACCCGGGAGAGUUUUGGGGCCUAUUGUGGAAGUUAGCAUUUUGGAAGAGAUUUCAUAAGUUUGGCUUGAAGUGCAUUUCAGUGUUAUCGAUGUCCGUUUGAGAUUCUGAGUCUGUGAACAGCUCUGUAUGGUGAGUGUGGAGUUGGGAGGGAGAUCAGAAGUGAAUUCGGAGGUCUGUAGGUCAUUUUGAAGUCAUUUGGCUAAAGAAAGAAAUUUGAAGGCUUUUGAGAAGUUUGACUGGAAGUGGACUUUUUGAUACCAGGGUCAAAAUCUGAUUUCGGAAGUUGGAGUAUGUCCGUAAUGUCUAAUAUGACUUGCGUGCAUAAUUUGAAGUCAAUCGGACGUGAUUUGAUAGGUUUUAACAUCGAAAAUAGAAGUUUGAAAUUCUAAAGUUCAUUAUUAAACUUGGAUUGGAGGUCGAUUCGUGGUUUUAGCGUUGUUUGAUAUAAUUUGAGACUUAGAGCAAGUACACAAUGUGUUUUGGGACUGGUUAGCAUGAUUGGUUAUGGUCUGGGGGACCUCGGGUGGAUUCCGGUUGAUUAACGGAUCGAAAAUGGAAUUUUUGGAAAGCUGAACUUGCUGGUUGCUGUCAUAACUGCAGAUGCGGUCAUUUUUCCGCAGAUGCGGGACCCCGAUCAUUUUUUUGCAAAUGCAAUCAUUUUUCUACAGAUGCAGGACCGCAUGCGGUCAUUUUUCCGCAGAUGCGAAAAAUGCUGCUGGCAGUGGGGUUGUUUUAAAGUCAGAUUUGGCCAUUUUUCUCUUGGUAUGGGUGAUUUUGGAGAACUUCAGGUGGGGUUUUUCGUCAUCAACGGCAAGGUAAGCUAACCCCACCUAUCUUGAGUUGAAUAUAUUAAUUUUUAUGGAUUUACAUGUAAAUUGGUAGAAAUUGAGGGUUUAAGGAAAACCUAGAAAAAAUUAGUAUUCUUGAAUUUUGACCAUGAUUUUGGGUAUGGAAUUCAGAGAAAAUUAUAUACUGAGUUUGUGAGGCUACGGGUAAGCUUAUUCUUCAAAUAUUUUGGAUAUCUGGGCACGUGGGCCCGA